rnacentral:lncRNA from 1 species
ACGGCCAAAAACCACAAAUCUCGAUGCAAUAAAAAUAAAUGCGAAAAAUAAAAAGCACACCGAGAUUUACGUGGAAAAACUCCAACUUGGAGAAAAACCCACGGGACCAACACGCGAAAAAAAUAAUUCACUAAGAAAAAAGAUUACAAGGUGAUUACCGACUCCACGGACUCAACCUCUCUUAACCUCCUAUGAAUCUUCGCGCUACCCUCCGGGUUGUCCACGCCCUCACGUUCGAAUCCACGAACGCCUCCAUUUCGAAUUUACGAAGCUUCAAUCACGCAGAAUCGACGCCACUCGAAUCCACAAGCCAACGAUCCGAAUCCACGAACCGCCUUUGUUCACGCCGAAUCCACGACGCCGUUCAU